AAAAAUUAAUUAACCAUUAAAUUUAGUUCCCCUCGCUAUCCUUUUUUUUUUUUUUGUAAAACUCCCCUCGCUAUCCUGUUCUUCAAUUACAAUGAUGUUUCUUAGGACGUCGGGGAACAAUAUUC